rnacentral:rRNA from 1 species
GCGUAUAUUAAAGUUGCUGCGUUUAAAAAGCUCGUAGUUGUAUCUCAGUUCAUGUCAAUUGGUCAAUCACUUAUUAGUGAUUACUUUUUGACUGAACAUUGAACCGAUUUGUUUUCUGAUGCUCUUUACCGAGUGUUAUUAACGAUCGGGAUCUUUACUUUGAAAAAAUUAAAGUGCUCAAAGCAGGCAUUUCGCCUAAAUAUUCUUGCAUGGAAUAAUGGGAUAAGAUCUAGGUUCUAUUCUGUUGGUCUUUUGAACCUCAGUUAAUGAUUAAAAGGGACAGACGGGGGCAUUCGUAUUGCGGCGCUAGAGGUGAAAUUCUUGGACCGUCGCAAGACGAACUAC